rfam:Halalkalicoccus jeotgali B3, complete genome.
GUCCUGGUAGGGUAGUGGACCAUCCUACGGGCUUGCGGAGCCUGUGACCGGAGUUCAAAUCUCCGUCAGGACG